rnacentral:lncRNA from 10 species
GCCCUUUGCCCUUCUCGAGGCCGGUGCUUGACUGGAGGAGGGCUGGCAGCAGAAGUGCAGCUGACCGGGUUGCGUUUUCGUACGGCUGACUAAAGCGGAUACCGGUGGCGACUCAUUUCUCGUUUUAUUUUUCAACGAUUUGGCGGAGAAGCUCCUCUUGUGAAUGGACUUUGGAUUUCUUGGAGCUGCGCUGCGGGUCCCACAGUGUGGCUUUCGGCCCGUGCUGUGCUGGCGCCUGCACUUCCUCUGGCGGGGCACGGGGUGGCGCUCCCUGGUAAAGCAGCGGCCAGGGGGAGCCGUGAGUGAGGCGCUGCCUCUCCCGCUGAAGCGGGUUCCAAGGCCACCGUGAGGGGGACCAUCCAUCCAGGUAAAACGUGUUCUUUCCUUGUUCCUUUGCGAAUCGAUGGGGAUCAGGCUUCCCCAGGUGGUGAAGUGAGGAACAGGGACCGCGGGGCUCGCCUGACCAGUGGGGUCUCCAUCCUUGUCCGUGCUGACAAAAGACAAGAACAGACAGCGCCUGAAAUCUUCCCGCCUCCGUGAGGGAAGCCUGCGUCUGGGAACGCGCCGCAGGGAAGUGAUCCCUGAGUGAGGGAGGAGGUGCCGGGGCAUCAUUAAUCAGACCUCAAUGCCGGGAAGGUUCUUUGUUUAAAGAAACACUCAUGUUUAAAGAGCACUUGGUGCGGACUUGCUGUGGCCAUCGCCCUCAACAGCUCAUCUUUAGGAGGUGCAGGCUGAAUUCACGCCUCGGUGUCGUCCAUGUCUGCCUGCCGCGCAGAGGAGACAGCGAGAGGCCUUCCCACCGCACGGCUUUUACGGGAAGCUCUUCGCAUUGGCUACAGGGGUGUGGUUUGGUUUAUAGCCACACCAAGUAAUUUUAAUAGAACUCAAUAACUGUGUUGCCUUGCAGGCUCCGAGUGCUACAGGCAGACCCGAGUCCGAGUCUUCCUACGGUUCAUUGUCCCCCCCUGGAUUUCCUAGGGACUCCAGAUACGAUGGCAUCGAUGUCAGUUAACUUGGCACUUCUUAAAAUAGAUCUAUGAUCAAAUCUUAAGUUUUUCCGAAUAAGACUCUGGAGGAAUGCAGGAAGGUCAUUUGAUUACUUUAAAAUAAGAGGAUUUUAUGUUAAAAUAUUGAAAAAGCCAGUCAUAAAACUAAGCUCUGUACCAAUGAAUAUAGUUCGCGAAGCCAGCAGCACAGGCUUAUUAUUAUAAAUAUCAAACACCACCA